rnacentral:tRNA from 1 species
UCCCUGGUAGUCCAAUGGCUAAGACUCUUUGCUCCCAAUGCAGGGGGCCUGGGUUUGAUCCCCAGUCAGGGAA